AACUGUUUGGGUUCCAACAAAUACUGCUAAGCCUGGCCGACUGACCCUUACUCAACCUCAGUGAGACUAUAAAGUUUGAGACACAGUAAUUCAUCUUGAGUUCAACACAAGGUUUACCUAGAAAGAUUAAGUUCACUUGCUAAAAAGUUAUAAAGUAACUGAAUGUGAGCAAUUUUGGAUUAACAUGAAACAAUGCUUUUCUUUCAGAACCACUUGGGGAGACAAAAUUAAGUCACAGUGGAAGACAAAAGCCGGGGCAACAGGAUGAAUGCAGCAGAAAGAGGAGCUGACCAGAGAGGAGCCUGCCAUUAAAUCACACAGUCAGUACCUCCUGCUUGACUCCACCGCUUGUCUUUUCUCUGCAACUUAUUUACCCGUGGCCUGACCUCCCGCUGGACCCUCCCUUACACCUCCAUCCCUGGUAUUGACUUCUUGGCCUCUUCAUCCCUGAUUAAACUCCCCUCUCCCAAGUGGCUAUGCACACAGUCUCUUUCUCCUUCACCCCGACCCCCCCCCCCACCUCUACUUCAACUGCAGAUUACACAACUAUGGAAUCCAUUCCUCUCAAGAUCAAGAGGACCAGCAGUCAGUCAACUCCCUGCUUCCUUAACAGGCUUUGACCAUGACCACAGUAAGAAAUACGUUUAUAUCACAACCCAAUACAUAUACACAUACUACAUUGGGCUGCCUGGGUGGCUCAACUGGUAGAGCAUGAGACUCAGGGUAGUGAGUUCGAGCCACAUGUUGGACACAGAGAUUACUUAAUAAAAAAGUUUUUAAAUAAUAUCUGUCAUUAUGAAGGGUAGUGUAUUUAAUAUUCUCUAUCCAGUUCUAUUCCAUUUAUAUUUUUAAAAUGUCUGGGUCAUAUAAUGUUAAGUUAAAGAAGCCUCACGUAAAAAGUGCAUACUGUAUGAUUCCACUGAUAAGAAGGUCUGGAACAGCACAACUAAUCUACAGUGACAGACAUAAAAACAGCAGGCAUAUCAGCUGGGAGGGGAGAACAGGAUAGCCUGCUGGAGUGCUAGAAGCGUUCUAUGCAUUGAUCUGCGUGGUGGUUAUACAGGUGCCCAAAUGUGAAAUCCACUGAGCUAUUCAAUUAGUGUUCCAUGUAAGUUCUACUUCAAUUUAAUUAAUUAAUUAAUUAAUUAAGCAAAGCAAAAUAAAAAGAAAUGGGGGGUUUAAACUAAUUAAUCUGAUUUAACCAACCAAAACUGCUUCAACUAACCUGUUAGACACAGUUUGAAAAUAGCUCUAAAUAUCUUUGUGUGUGUGUGCGUUAACUCUCUUAUAUAUGUUAUCUCAUAUAACUAAACUAAGGAAAGUUUAAAAACUUUCCUAGGGAGCGCCUGGGUAGCUCAGUCAGCUGGGAAUCCAGCUCCUGACUUCGGCUCAGGUCAUGAUCUCAUGGUUCAUGAGUUCGAGACCCACGCUAGG